GGGGUGGUAGGUCAAGUUAGGCCGUAAGUUUCCAAAACUUACAAUGCCUACUCUU
rnacentral:tRNA from 1 species